GGUGAUACUAGUAUGGCAUACAGGUGAGAUAUAGGGGUACAUCAUCACUGAAUAAGUAACUCACCUACUUAGUAUUCUACUGUCAAGAGCUGCUCGCGAAACAUAUGGGUAUAAGUGUUCUUCAGACCUGAGAUCACCAUAGUGACUUGCAAGCAACUCACUAUGCUUUGGUUUCGGACUAUCUAGAUUUCUAAUGCAGUGACGAAAGGCU
rnacentral:lncRNA from 1 species